AUUAUUGUGCUAUUAGAUAACGGUGACAAUACGCAAAAAUUAUUUUACACUUGGCAUCGUUUUGGUUAGUGUAUAGUGUCUAGUGAUUGUUUUUAUAACUAAACGGAAGAAAUAAUUUUAAAUUCUGUCGUCAUUGAAAAUAAUGCAUUUUCCGAAGAAUUUUCACACGAAUCAGCUCUAUUAGAUAUACUAGGAGAGUUAAAAUGUAAUUGCUUCUUCAGUAUAUUUAUCGAACAUGGAAUAACAUGUGAAAGCCUUAAAUAUAUUAUUGAAAAACACUUACAAGACAUUUGUCCAAAAGCCUGUUAUGGUCAAUGAAUAAUAUUUGAGCACCAUUUAAAAAAGUGGUAGGCAAACUUUGUUAGUGUGAGUUAACUAAAUUAAUUUUAAGUCUUUUAACAGACCUUUCAUUUUUGAUCAUUUCUAUAGGAAAAAUCUAGUAACACUAGUGCUAGUAAAAAUAAUGCAUCAGAAUCUUUAUCUGAUUCAGAAAUGUCUGAAUACUCUAAUUUGAUAAUGUCAUUCUAUAAAAAAAAUUUAAAGCUUACUGAUGAAUUAAGGAAAAUGUUGACUGAAAUAAUUACUAAAUAUAUGAUACAGCAUAAAAUAUAUAGAUCUCCUAAAAUCAUUAAUAAUAUUUCUGAUAGUAUCAAUAAUAUAUUUAAAUCUGAAGUUAAGGAAACAUACUUUAUUAGCGCGCCUGCAUAAAAACUAAAGGGAAUAUUGUACUCAAAAUAUCAUAAAACAUUGACAAUAUUACGCAAACACAAAUUGUGGUCUCCCAUAAAAAAAGUAAAAAAAAGUUCUGAUGAUAGUAACUUACAGCAAACAUCUUUACUAUAUAGAUCAACUAUAAACAAAUAAUUAAUAAUAGUAAUUUUUACUAAUAAUUAGUAAA